CGAGUGCGCUUGUGUGGCGGGGAUCAAAGGAAAACUAUGUGAAAACAUCAUCAACCAGUGUGCACUGAAGCCAUGUCUGAACGGAGGGACGUGUGACGGAAACGAAUCGGACUUCAAGUGCGCAUGCCCAGUUGAGUGGACUGGAGAGACAUGCGCAGAUAAAGUUAAUUUCUGUGACAGCGCCCCCUGUAACAGAGGAUAUUGUACAGCGGACCUCUUGACGGCAACUCGGUUCAAGUGUGACUGUGAUUUUGCGUGGGUAGGGGAGAGAUGCAACCAAAGUGUUGAUAUUAUCAACAUCACACUCCUGGGUGAGAUUGAUCAUACAAAUAGAGGUGACCUGGCUGAUGGCUUCAGCAGACUCAUCACAAAACUCGGGGGAAUUGCAGGAAAGGCGGCUGUCAAAUUUACAACGAACACACAGAACGAAAACAGUUAUACUACUACGCACGUACAACUCUACUCUGCUGUGGAAAACGGAUCCUUUCUAGACAGUGAUUCAUUAGCUAGAAUCUUCGAAUCUAACCCUGAUGAAAUCAUCAAUGAAUAUCUGCCUCUUCCAUUGUACCCUCCCCGUGAAGAAGACAAGACAACA